rnacentral:rRNA from 1 species
GACGAACGCUGGCGGCGUGCUUAACACAUGCAAGUCGAACGAAGAGCGAUGGAAGCUUGCUUCUAUCAAUCUUAGUGGCGAACGGGUGAGUAACGCGUAAUCAGCCUGCCCUUCAGAGGGGGACAACAGUUGGAAACGACUGCUAAUACCGCAUACGAUCUGACCUCGGCAUCGAGGAUAGAUGAAAGGUGGCCUCUACAUGUAAGCUAUCACUGAAGGAGGGGAUUGCGUCUGAUUAGCUAGUUGGAGGGGUAACGGCCCACCAAGGCGAUGAUCAGUAGCCGGUCUGAGAGGAUGAACGGCCACAUUGGGACUGAGACACGGCCCAGACUCCUACGGGAGGCAGCAGUGGGGAAUCUUCCGCAAUGGACGAAAGUCUGACGGAGCAACGCCGCGUGAGUGAUGACGGCCUUCGGGUUGUAAAGCUCUGUUAAUCGGGACGAAAGGCCUUUUUGCGAAUAGUGAGAAGGAUUGACGGUACCGGAAUAGAAAGCCACGGCUAACUACGUG